GAUGAACGCUGGCGGCGUGCUUAACACAUGCAAGUCGAACGGGAAAUAUUUCAUUGAGACUUCGGUGGAUUUGAUUUAUUUCUAGUGGCGGACGGGUGAGUAACGCGUGGGUAACCUGCCUUAUACAGGGGGAUAACAGUCAGAAAUGGCUGCUAAUACCGCAUAAGCGCACAGAGCUGCAUGGCUCAGUGUGAAAAACUCCGGUGGUAUAAGAUGGACCCGCGUUGGAUUAGCUUGUUGGUGGGGUAACGGCCCACCAAGGCGACGAUCCAUAGCCGGCCUGAGAGGGUGAACGGCCACAUUGGGACUGAGACACGGCCCAGACUCCUACGGGAGGCAGCAGUGGGGAAUAUUGCACAAUGGGGGAAACCCUGAUGCAGCGACGCCGCGUGAAGGAAGAAGUAUCUCGGUAUGUAAACUUCUAUCGGCAGGGAAGAUAGUGACGGUACCUGACUAAGAAGCCCCGGCUAACUACGUGCCAGCCGCCGCCGUAA
rnacentral:rRNA from 1 species